AUAAAUAAAAAGAAGCAGCAAUAUUCUAUCUAUGGAUUCACUUCUUAAAAAUUCUGUGCAGAAGGAUGCAUUUUUAAUUAUAUCCCUAGAAUUACCCAAUGCCAACCAAGGAAAAUAAAAAAAAAACGGCGACAAGAGAUUAUGAGGAUAUUGGAAUUUCCACAUGAUGUUGACAAAGACCUGCUCUAUUUUUAAAAUGAAGGUAUAUAUACUGACAUAUAGUGUACAUGUACCUUGAAGAUUUGUCCCCCUCGUAAAUACAAGAAAUGCAAAGUAUACACAGUGACAGAUAUAUACAUACACAUAAAAGGAGACAUCAUCUCAUGAUCUGUGGAUCCAUUGAAAACUUUAAGGACAAAACUGUUGAUAAUUCAUUCAUGUAAAGAGUGUUGACUUGAAUAUUGAAUAUCUAAUGAAUGGAACUAAGUUAGAGAAUUAAUUUAAUAAGUAUUAUAUUGUAUAUUACUCUUUUUAUUCAUCUGUCAAAUUUCUUAAUUAAAAAUUAAACUUAAAGGCUUAAAUAAGGAUUUUUUUCA